AACGACGAACGUAAACCAGCUCCGAAUUCCUCGGCGUGUGACGUAUUAUUAUUUAUAUUCGAUGAUCGUGUCAGUCAUUCAGCGGGAUUCGAACGAGCGGGUAGUGAUAUCUGCCAUUCUGUGUUACAUCGUAAUAUAUAUUUCGCGAAAUAUGAUUGUGAUAAAUACUUAAAAAUAUCGAGUGCUAAUUUUGCCAUUAAUGUGCGCGAUCGUAAUUAAUCACGUCUCUACGCGUUAGUGAGAGUGUAACGUGUCUGAAGAGAGAGAGAAUCAACAAAGAGAAGAGGAGGAAGCGUAAGAGACAUCGGGCGAUGGUGAAACAACGAUUAAUGUUACAUAAUAGAGCUCCGCUGCUGCACAUCAGAUCGAGGGCACACGGUACAAUUUGGCGCAAUUUAGCAGCAGCUUUCAAUUAGCCGAUUGAGGUUGCCCCGAGAGUCUCUUUGGCAUCCAAGACCUUGUUUCGCGAAGAUGAGCAAAAGCAAGGACAUUCAUUAUCUCGUAGUGACGCCGUUCACCGUUAUCAGUGCGGAAGAUGGGGCACUGUUAAGGCCAGGGAGCCGUUGUGUCGUGGAAACGGAAGAAAGGAGGGGGAGGAAGCAUCGGGAUGAACGAGGAGGCCAAGAAAUGAAGAGCACUUCUCUUUACUCUACGAGGUGUGAAGGUUGCGGAGGCGUGAAGUGGGAAGGUUGGACUAGGUUUCCACAGUCGCGGAACCGAGACGCAAGGAGGAGGUGGCGGCGGCGUCGGCUGGCGAUGGCAAACGCGUCGAGGGUGAAGGUAGGUGGUG